GUGAGUGUAGCUCAGUUGGUAGAGCACUGGGUUGUGGCCCCAGUGGCCGAGGGUUCGAGUCCCUUCACUCACC
rnacentral:tRNA from 1 species